AGUCACAUGUUGUUUACUGCCUCAAAUUUGAAUCUGCUAGAGGUUUUUCCAACAGCAUUUUAUUUUUCUUGUAUGUUACAGAAGACAAUGAGAAUGAAGAUGAAGAUGAUGAGGAAGUGUGAACGACCUCUACAAAGAAGCCUCGAUGCCGCUGGCCGAUGUUAUGGCCCGCUACAGGAACCCAAGUCUUCAGGGUAAACUCCCAGCCUCUCCGUUCCUUCGAGCUAAAAAGGAUGACCCUGGUGCAUCCUCAUCCUCCGCAGACGCAGGCUGUAGCAGUAGCAGCAAUGUAUCGAAUUCUGAAAGUGAAGUCAGCAGUUCAAGUGGUGGAGCCUCCUCUUCAAAGAGUGAAUCCAAGAACAAUGUUGAGGCUGCCUCAUCGUCUGGGUCUGGGGCAGGGCCAUCUUCGACGUCCUCUGCACCUUCAUCAUCAUCACACGCAAAAGAAGUUUCCAAUAGCGCUCCUGACAGUAGUAGCUGUAAUAAUAUUGCUUCUGAAGCCAGUUCCUCCUCCAAAAAAGAGACAGCUGAAAAGUCAUGGUGAAUGGCAUCGCUCAUGGGGCCUCUGGUGACUCGGUAUCAAGCUCGCAGAACAGCAAAGGAAGCAAGAUGGAGGCAGAAAGUGAAUGUCAAGGAAGCGGCGAUGCUGGAAAGUCGGCCAAAAGCAGCAAUGAUGACACAAUUUCGUCAAGUGACAGCCCCUCAGGCAAAUCACCCCACAAAAAGCGUGUCGUACCCACACGUGUAGGCUCGACCAAAUUGUAUGAGAAAUUACUAACGCAAGGCAACGGAGUUGACUCCAGCGAGUCAGAUGAGGAGGAUGACCCAGCAUUUCCUGGACAUGCGGCGGAAAGGUAAUACAGGGGAAAGCAGACAAAAUUUGAACAAUCACCUACUUCCUUUCGUUCAAGGGCUCAUACAAUACCAUCCUAACGUACCAUUCAGCCAGCGAGAGGUUAGGUUAAAACCUCUUAGUCAAAAACAUUGGAUUUUCUAGUAUGCAAAAAAUGAACUGUUGGUCGAAAUUGAUGUAAAUCCCACUAAGAGAGGGAAUGCGCUUUGAAGCUUUCCCCUCUAUUUAAAAUUGUUGGCAGACUCUAAAUAAAUUUAUCAUACAUUCCACA
rnacentral:lncRNA from 1 species